ensembl:lncRNA
AGGAGAUCCAACCAGUCCAUCCUAAAGGAGAUCAGUCCUGGGUGUUCAUUGGAAGGACUGAUGCUAAAGCUGAAACUUCAAUACUUUGGCCACCUGAUGCGAAGAGCUGACUCAUUGGAAAAGACCCUGAUGCUGGGAAAGAUUGAGGGCAGGAGGAGAAGGGGAUGACAGAGGACGAGAUGGUUGGAUGGCUUCACUGACUCAAUGGACAUGAGUUUGAGUAGGCUCUGGGAGCUAGUGAUGGACAGGGAGGCCUGGUGUGCUGCAGUUCAUGGGGUCGCAAAGAGUUGGACACGACUGAGCGGCUGAGCUGAACUGUAGCUUUCACGUGUGAUCGUCCAUUUUCUGUAGAAACUCUAUGAGAACAUUUACCAUGUCCUCCUCAUCUGAGUUAAAUAUUGGAAAACUCAGUCACGGGCAGGGACCAAGGAGCAUGGAAUGCCCUUGUCAGGAACCUGGUUGAUGGGAGGCUAGCCAGAGAGCUUCAGAAAGCUGGGUAUGAAUCCAGUCCCCAAGAAGCUUUUCAUCCAGGUGAAUAGACAAGCCUCAUCCAAGAAACCACAAAUUAGGAACAGUACUGGUGGAGAUGUUCUCUGUAGAAGCAAAGGGGAGCAAUGAGGAGCAAAAGAACAAACAGAUGCAGAGUACCCAGAGCGGUGCUUCGCACAGCACUGGGCGCUCUAGGACUGUUAGGUGAGAAGGGUCGCAUGACCCGGCUUCCCCGCGGCACCAGAACCCUGCCCGGGGGCACAGACUCUUCCGACGUCGACGCUCGCCAGGUCCAGCAAGCACGGUGACCAAAGAAGCUGCCGCCGCCGCCGCCGCCGCCGCCAAAGUGAGCCCUGCGGACGUGGAGCCCGGGCCGCACCGCCCCACACACACCCACUUCAGCAACCUCGCGCGACGGCGCGCGCACCACGGCCCCACCCCCUAUGACGCGCCUCCAGGAGGCGGGAUCACGGAGGCCCCGCCCCGCGCUCCUCCGAUUGGCCGCCGCGCUGUCACCACCACGUCGCGGGAAGCUGGCGGGGUGUGUGUGUGUGUGUGUGUGUGUG